GUGAGUAGUGAGUAGAGUGGUAGUGGCUACGACUCAGUGUUUCAGGGAGAAGAAGGAGAUAGGGGAGGUGAUGAUAUAUAUUAAAUAUUAAAUAUAAAAAGAGAAGAGGGGUUUGCUUGCGUUCUUUGUGGUUUUGCUGUUUCGGCUUCAGCCACAAUACCUCUCUAAUUCUUUUUAUAUUUUUAUUCAUUCCUUUCGGGGUUUCGGCUAAUCUCUCUCUCUCUCUCUCUCUCAAUUUCUUUCUUUCUUUUUAAACUCUCUCUUUAUUUCAUUCUUGUAAGAAUCAGCCUUAUUAUAUGAUCGAUCUGUUCUUACUUUUCGAAUGCGAGUUACUGAGUUUUUGUUUCAGAUUAUGGAGAUUUGAUUAGCUUUCAAGUGCCCCAGUUCGAUCUAUAUUUUAUUGUUCCGUAUCUGAUCUUUGACUAGUAAUGAGCUUUUUUUUUUCUGGGUCAAAUUCUAUUCGAGCAAAAAUUCUCUCUGGCUCAGCAGUGGAUCACAUUACAUCUUUUUUGCAUCUGCUUUUGUUGAGCAUUAUUUUUUCUUCCUUACCCAAAACACUCUCCGUAUUACACUUUUCUGGAUUAUGUUUUUUUGUAGACGGUUCAGUACUGAGGAGCAAGUGUGGUCUUUGAAGACUGAGCUGACAUAGGCAAUAGAGAGAGAUGUCAAGGGAGUUGGUGAGAAUGAUGGGUGGCACCAUAGCAAAAGCUUAUAAAUAGAGGGGUUCACAAAUUGAAGAAGCCACAAUAUUGGUUGUGCUAUUUUGAUCCUGAAGCUUCUAGUGGGAGGAGAUGGAACUGCUGAAGAGAAUAGAUAGUGCACAGUUAUAAAGAUAAAACUUCAAAUGGAAGUUUAAGACCUAGGGUAAAAGUGUUUGUGAACAUGUGCAGAGAGAGAAGCCUGUAAUUGCCAGAUAAGAACAAUUGCUGAAGAGUUACAAAAAUGUAACAAUCAAUAAUAUAACUUUUCAAAAAAUUUUGAAACUCUUCCACCUUUCUUCUGAUUUGGUAGGUACAGGCUCCCCUAGCUUAUGAUGACUUAUGCGCAAAAAGUUUUGAGGUGCUGUGGAAGAAAUAUUUUCUUAAGUUAUUGCAUUUUUGCUUUAGAAACAUCUGUAAUAUUACUAUCCGCCUAAUGACCAUUAUUCAACUAUGAUAUAGCUUUUGAUAUGGUCUUCUAGGGUAAAUAUGAAGGCAAAUGUUUGAUGAUUCAAAAAAAUUUCUUACCAUAAAUUGUGUAAUUUAUAAAUUUUUAUUUACCUAAGUUA